GCCCAAGUGGCGGAAUGGUAGACGCGUACGUUUCAGGUGCGUAUGUCGCAAGGCGUGAAGGUUCGAGUCCUUUCUUGGGCACCA
rnacentral:tRNA from 1 species